rnacentral:rRNA from 1 species
UACGUAGGGUCCGAGCGUUGUCCGGAUUUAUUGGGCGUAAAGAGCUCGUAGGCGGCUCAGUAAGUCGGAUGUGAAAACUCGGGGCUCAACCCCGAGACGCCAUCCGAUACUGCUGUGGCUUGAAUCUGGUAGGGGAGCACGGAAUUCCUGGUGUAGCGGUGAAAUGCGCAGAUAUCAGGAGGGACACCGGCGGCGAAGGCGGUGCUCUGGGCCAGUAUUGACGCUGAGGAGCGAAAGCGUGGGGAGCGAACAGG